rnacentral:rRNA from 1 species
AGUGAACGCUGGCGGUAGGCCUAACACAUGCAAGUCGAACGGCAGCAUAGGAGAGCUUGCUCUCUGGGUGGCGAGUGGCGGACGGGUGAGGAAUACAUCGGAAUCUACUCUGUCGUGGGGGAUAACGUAGGGAAACUUACGCUAAUACCGCAUACGACCUACGGGUGAAAGCAGGGGACCUUCGGGCCUUGCGCGAUUGAAUGAGCCGAUGUCGGACUAGCUAGUUGGCGGGGUAAAGGCCCACCAAGGCGACGAUCCGUAGCUGGUCUGAGAGGGUGAUCAGCCACACUGGAACUGAGACACGGUCCAGACUCCUACGGGAGGCAGCAGUGGGGAAUAUUGGACAAUGGGCGCAAGCCUGAUCCAGCCAUACCGCGUGGGUGAAGAAGGCCUUCGGGUUGUAAAGCCCUUUUGUUGGGAAAGAAAUCCAGCUGGCUAAUACCCGGUUGGGAUGACGGUACCCAAAGAAUAAGCACCGGCUAACUUCGUGCCAGCCGCCGCAGUAA